AUGAGUCUCGUCAAGUCCAGGGGUGACCUCAAGGCCCCGGGGGAGUCCCUGCAGCUCCUCUACCGCGGCUCCGGCUUCACCUUCAGCAACCACGGGAUGCAGUGGGUGCGCCAGAGCCCCGGGAAGGGACUGGAAUUUGUUGCUGGGAUCAACAAUGCUGGUGGCACCUACUACGCGCCGUCGGUGAAGGGCCGGUUCACCAUCGCCAGGGACAACGGGCAGAGCUCGGUGACGCUGCAGAUGAACAACCUCAGGGAGGAGGAUUCCAACACCUAUUUCUGCGCCAAACGUGACGGUGCUGGUGGUGGUGAUGUUUAUGGUAUCGACCCCCUUGGUGUCCCAAAGCCCAGACCCUCCCCCAGACCUCCACCCUUCACACCCAGCUCUCAGUCGUUGGUCCCGACCUUGGGCUGGUUUUGCCCCAAAUCUCAACCGUUGACCCCAAACCCCAACUCUUUGCCCCAAAUCCCAGUGAUUUGUGCCCCUGAGCUCAACUUGGUCCCUCAAAGCUCAACCGUUGAUCCCAAAUCUCAACAGUUGACUCAAAUUUUGACCACGGACCCCAAAUCUCAAGCAUUGAACCUAAAUGUCAACCAUUGA